AAUCAACGCUGGCGGCGUGCCUAACACAUGCAAGUCGCACGAGAAAGGGGAGCAAUCCCUGAGUAAAGUGGCGCACGGGUGAGUAACACGUGAAUUAUCUACCUCCGAGUGGGAAUAACUGAGAGAAAUCUUAGCUAAUACCGCAUAACACUUACGAGUCAAAGACAGCAAUGCGCUUGGAGAGGAGUUCGCGGCAGAUUAGUUAGUUGGCGGGGUAAGUGGCCCACCAACGACGAUGAUCUGUAUCCGGCCUGAGAGGGC
rnacentral:rRNA from 1 species